UUUUUUUUUUUUUUUAAUAUAUUUAUAUAUUUAUUAUUUUUGUUGUUAUUAGAUUCGAUGUUAAUGUUUUGAUAUUUAGAAACUGAAUCAGUUCAAAUUUACCAUUUGUCGAUUGCUAAUAAAAUAUCAUGAAAAAGAGAAGUAAAAUUUGUGAAUAAAGAGACUAGCCCCUUACAUUUAUUGUAUCGGAUGGGAAAUGAGAGGUUCGCCAGCAGGGGGGAGAGGAAGAGGUCAAUGGUUGUAUGGAGAGAACAUAAGUUGGUCCCUAUCCGGCGGUAAUGAUCGUUAAUGGCAUUGCGUGGAUACCCUUACAACUCAUAUCCCGUAUAAUUUCAAAUAUCUAGGGUUCUAUUCUCUUGGUCUUAAUUUAUCACACAACGUUUUGAGCGAUGAAUUUAUCACGCAUCACGCAUUUAAGCAUGGAUCCACAAAGCCUUGGCAACCAUCCACAACUGAAACCACCAAUAGUAUUAGCUGGAACAGCAAAGGAAGGUGGUGCUGGACCACCUAUUGGUCUAAUUGACAUAGGUGUUAGUGAAGCAGCGUACCUUUUCCGGGUUGCACUGCCUGGCAUCCGGAAGAAUGAAUGUGGGGUAAAAUGCGAGAUCCAACGUGAUGGGACUAUUCAUGUACGAGGAGUAGUAACGCCUGAUGCUGGAUUUUUGAGAGACUCAUUGAAUGUGUUCCAGUUGAGAGUCCAACAACUGAGCCCACCUGGACCAUUUACUAUUUCCUUCAAAUUGCCUGGACCUGUUGACCCUCGACUCUUCUGUCCUAAUUUCCGGGGUGAUGGUAUCCUGGAAGGGAUGGUUAUGAAAGAGAGAGUACCAGUUAUUCAUGUGGAUGGUUGAAUCCUGCCUUCAUGAGUUUUUCUUCAGGAGCUUAAUUGCAUAUAAUCCUAAAUGCAUGUAAAUAUACAAAGACAUGCGGUAGAACACAGGUGAAGUUUAUGCUGAAGUAAGGGCAUACUGCGGACUGCCUUGUUGAUGCAUCUUUUCC
rnacentral:misc_RNA from 1 species